AGAGGGACGGGGAGAUGAUGAAGACAGGAGAGGCAAAGUACUACCAUCACCACCCUGCCUAUCAUCAGCUCUCUCUCUAUCCCUUUUGCUGAAUGCCACAUAUACGACUGGAUGAAGAUGCCAGAUAAGUGGAAGGAGAAUGUGAUUGGGAGUCAGGAAACCUGGGUUUUUAUUUGGGCUCUGCCACUUGUCAGCAGCAAUUACUUUAACUAGACUUGCCCACUGUGGAACCGAGUGGGACCCCAGCUGAAGCAGAAGGCAGAAGAGCACUUCAGGCAGGUUUCUAGCAAGGCAACAUUCAGAGGGCCUGGACUGGCAGAAAGAACAUGGCCCUGAAUGUCAGAGGACUUGGGUUCUAAUUCCAGUUCUGCCCCUGCCUAUUGUGUGACCUCGGCUCUCCGCUCAUCUUUUCCCAACAUUUCUCCAAGCAAGGAAAGCUGGAGAUGUCGGUCCAGGUCCAGGAAAUAGAAAAGGAUGGAGAGAACUGAACAGAAGAGUUUGGUUCCAACAGGUCCUCGUUUGGCAAAAUUUGGUCCUCGUCAGAUGUGACCAAUGUGGCUGAUACCAGGUCUACCCAGGACCAGGAGAACCCUUAGCCCAAGACUGCCUUUUGUGUUUGUUCCUUCACUGUUGCAGCCUCCAACUGUCUAGGAAACAAGAUAACCUACCCUGCAGUCUGGCACCAGGUCCCCAGUAAUGGUGAAUGCAUGUGGAUAAACUCAGAAAGACAACCCCGGGAGCCUCCUUAACCCCCAGAACCAUGCCUCUGCCUUCUCACCCUUACCUCUAAACCUGUCAACUCACACCUGACAUCCAGAAAAGGACAGAGAGGAUGAGAAGGUCCUUCAGUGCUUCAGGCUACCUGCUUGCCCUCCCUUAAAAACCCCGUGUUUCCAGGAAAAAGGAAAAGCCUUGGUCUGGCAACAGACCAGGUCUGGGUUGCUCCCACAGUUCCGGGAGCCGCAGUUCCAAAGGAUUCCCCGUUUCCUUAGUAGCUGCUCCAGCCGUGUCCACACCCUGCUUUGCUGGAGCUACAGGCAUGAUCCCCAGGGGGAAAAACUUGUGCUGGAGACCCGAAAUCCAACGAAUUAAUAAAAGAUGCAAUGAAGC